rnacentral:misc_RNA from 1 species
GAUUAGUGUUCCCGUUAUUCAUUGUCCACAAGCUUAUGGAAUCGUCCUGAAGUUUGCUGAUAGGACUAAUGUUAUUGGGAAGAAAAUACCAGGUUGGAAGAUUGUUUACUCUGGUGACACAAGGCCUUGUCCAGAAUUGGUUAAAGCCUCUCGCGAGGCAACGCUUCUCAUACAUGAGGCUACUUUUGAAGAUGGCAUGUUGGAAGAGGCUAUAGCAAAAAAUCACAGCACAAUGGGGGAAGCUAUUGAGGCUGGGGACGCUGCUGGAGCAU